rnacentral:ncRNA from 2 species
ACAUCAUCAAGAGCAGCAGAGGGACUGGCCCUGUGAAGCUGCGGCAACCUUCCGGAGGGAAAGGUGCCAAUUCCAGCAGAUUUAUAUAUCUGACAGAUGAGCG